rnacentral:rRNA from 1 species
CGGAGGCAGCAGUAGGGAAUCUUCCACAAUGGGCGAAAGCCUGAUGGAGCAAUGCCAUGUGAACGAUGAAGGUCUUUUUGAUCGUAAAGUUCUUUUAGGGGGGAAGACCAUGACGGUACCCCUUGAAUAAGUGACAGCAAACUAUGUGCCAGCAGCUGCGGUAAUACAUAGGUCGCGAGCGUUAUUCGGAUUUAUUGGGCGUAAAGCAAGCGCAGGCGGAUGAAUAAGUUCUAUGUUAAAUACAGCUGCUCAACAGUUGUUUGCGUCGAAUACUGUUCAUCUAGAAUGUGGUAGGCGGUUUUGGAAUUGAAUAUGGAGCGGUGGAAUGUGUAGAUAUAUUCAAGAACACCAGAGGCGAAGGCGAAAACCGAGGCCACUAUUGACGCUUAGGCUUGAAAGUGUGGGGAGCAAAUGGGAUUAGAUACCCCAGUAGUCCACACCGUAAACGAUGGAUAUUAGAUGUUGGGGUCUGUGCCUCAGCGUUGUAGCUUACGUGUUAAAUAUCCCGCCUGGGUAGUACAUAUGCAAAUAUGAAACUCAAAGGAAUUGACGGGGACCUGAACAAGUGGUGGAACAUGUUGCUUAAUUCGAUAAUACACGAAAAACCUUACCAAGAUUUGACAUCUCCCGCGAAGCCCAUAGAAAUA